UCUCUUCUCUCAAAUCAAACACGCCUCUCUCCCUCUCGCUCUGCCUUCAGCCGAGGCGUUCGCCGCCGCGGCUCCAGCGCGGCCGUGCCGGUCGAGGGCGGCGCCUCUCGCCGUUUCAUUCUCCCCUUGCGACUCCUCCAUCUCAAAUCGACAGAAACAAUGGAAGCCUUACUCCUCCUUCCAAAUCGAGCCCUAGCUCUCCCAAAAUCAGGAAUCGCCGCCGCCGCUCCUGAAUUCCGGUGAACGGCGGUCGAACCUCCUCCCUCACCUCCAUCUCUGCCUUCUUCGCUCUCAAUUUCCAUCGAAGCUUGAGCGAGCCCUAAUUUUUCCCUUCUUGAGGUGCCGCUGCCGCCGCCGCUGCAACUGGAAGGCCGACGAGAUUCGCCGCGCCGCUGCACCCGUAGCGGCGUCCGCUGGUCGUCAGGCCGCCGAGGGCGCCGAUCCUCGGCUGCCCCCUCUUCAUCUCACUACCUUCCUUUUGAAAUCGAGUGCAAAGGAUGAAGGGAGGAAACAUGAUUUCCUCAGUCUGAUAUCGUUUCCGCCGUUGCUGCUCCGCGGUUUCCGGCUAGUAGGGAAAAGCCCGCCGUUGCUGUUUUCUCCAGGGUCGACGGUUCGAGCCACGCCACGCUGCUGCUGCUGGAUUCGGGCGAAGGGUACGCCGCCGAAUGCUGCUAUUCCAGAAUCGGCGAGGGCCAUCGCCGAGGUCAGGAGUCGCCUGCCCUUCACCGCUCGACGCCGUCGACGCUGCUGCCCCCGCGAGUCGCCGCCCAGACGUCGUUUCUCGGCCUGACUGAGCAGGGCAGCGCCCCUCUUUUCUAAAAGCUAAGUUCUCCUCUACCCUACUGUAAAGCUUGAUUUUCCUUAUUGUGCUUAGUAUGUUGAGUUGCUCGAGUUCUACACACUAAUUCUUACAUUAAAAGAAAAAUGUAACUGGUGUUCUGCAUUAUGAAGUGUAACUUGGCUAUGUUCAUUAUGCUUAUAUAGGUCUUCUAUCAUUUGAAUCUGAUCAUGUUUGAUGGUAUGAAUGCAAACACUGGAUUGAAUAAUAGGAUAGCAUGAUUUACCUCGAAUGUUUUUGAACUGAUUGCUUGCUGUUGGAGUUGAAAGAAAUGUGUAAUAACUUGAAGUAUAACUGUUGGUUGGCUGCUAUGGCUGGAUGAGAUGGAAGGAUUCUGAAAUAAAUCAUAUCCGUUCCUUUCAAUAAAUGCAGGUUACAAAUGGAAGAAGAUGAGAAAUUAAAGCCAAUGUUUACCUUAAAGUUUCUGGACUGGAAUGACUAGAAGUUGGCAGACUGAAUGAAUGAAGGAAGAUCUGUUACUCUGAAUAUUUCUAAGUGUAGAAUGAGGAGAAUGCAGUAUUUUGUUGGCUGUGGUUCGAUGUUGGCUGGAAGGCGAAGGGUUGGUGCACUUGAGUGUGCUAAUGGAUGGUAGUAGGGUGUAGGGAGAAGGGGAUUGGAGGGGUGGGGCGGCUGGCAUAGGGGAGAGUGAAGGGUGCUGCAGAUUUUUGCACACAUAUUCACUUAUCCUUUCUUUGUACUCAACAUUCUCAUGCUUAGGUAGAUGUUAGGAUUGUAAUAGCUAGGUAGGUUGUGGUGCAAAUAAAUAAAACCCCUUUGUCUUGG
rnacentral:lncRNA from 1 species